CCUACGGGAGGCAGCAGUAGGGAAUAUUGGUCAAUGGGCGCAACCCUGACGCAGCAACGCCGCGUGGAGGAAGAAGGCUUUCGGAUUGUAAACUUCUUUUGUUAGAGAAGAUGAUGACGGCAUUACCUGAAUAAGCAGCGGCUAACUCCGUGCUAGCAGCCGCGGUAAUACGGAGGGUGCAAGCGUUACUCGGAAUCACUGGGGGUAAAGGGCGCGUAGGCGGGAGAGCAAGUCAGAUGUGAAAUCCUAUGGCUUAACCAUAGAACUGCAUUUGAAACUGUUAUUCUUGAGGAUGGGAGAGGUAGGUGGAAUUCUGGGUGUAGGGGUGAAAUGCGUAGAGAUCAAGAGGAAUACUCAUUGCGAAGGCGGCCUGCUAGAACGUAACUGACGCUGAUGCGCGAAAGCGUGGGGAGCAAACAGGAUUAGAUACCCGGGUAGUC
rnacentral:rRNA from 1 species